rnacentral:rRNA from 1 species
UACGGAGGGGGCGAGCGUUAUUCGGAAUUAUUGGGCGUAAAGGGCGCGUAGGCGGCUUGGCAAGUGGAAGGUGAAAUCCCUCGGCUUAACCGAGGAACUGCCCUCCAAACUGCUUGGCUUGAGACCGGGAGAGGUGAGUGGAAUUCCCAGUGUAGCGGUGAAAUGCGUAGAUAUUGGGAGGAACACCAGUGGCGAAGGCGGCUCACUGGACCGGUACUGACGCUGAGGCGCGAAAGCGUGGGGAGCAAACGGG